rnacentral:snRNA from 1 species
GAGGAGGGCAAUGUGGCUGCAACAUCCGCCACUCUAUUGAACACCAGUGUUGACUCUGUUGAUCAGUCUGGCUAAGGUGUUUCCUUCCCUUACCACCUCAUGAGCAUCCCUUCCAAAACUGUGUGCCCAGUGGAAGAGAUGGCCUUCCUUCCU